rnacentral:lncRNA from 1 species
GUUCCAUUAAUGCAGCAACUAUCAUUUCAUUUGUAAUUAAAAAUACAAAUGUCAAAUACUAGUGAAAAAAAUGAAUUUGUAGGGGAGAAGAUAUGAAUUGGAAGCUGUCUUAUCUACUGCUGAUUGGCACCUGAAGAGAGAUGCCAAAACCAAAAAAAUAUCUUCAAGAGUUACCAUUACACAACUGAAAAGCUAAAAGUAAAGAUGGAGAAGCAAGAACACUUAAAACUCCAAGGAAAGUCUUCUUUUAUCAGUAGUCCCAAUUGGCUGACAAAAAAAAAAAAAAAAAAAAAAAAAAAAAAGAAGGGAAACACUCCAGUUUUGAGUUGCAGAAAAGUAAUUGAAACCUAGCACCAAAAGGGCACAAAGUGGAAAGUCAAUGGAGGUUUCAAUUCAAACAGAAUCCUAGCUGUACUUUGUCUUUCACUACCUCCAAAAGAGGCCACAGAAAUGGGGAGAGAGCUAGCAAUCAUUCCUCUCUCUAUGAACCGCCAUCUCCAGAAAUUUCCCUAAAGGGCCAGUCUACACUUUUGGAAACCAAGAUAAGCUUAUCUACAAAGGUCUGUGGGUUCAACGGAGUUUGGCUGCUUCAGCUGGGCGAGUCCCAGACUGCUUGUCAGGCUCAGGUCUGUUUUCCUGAAACAUCUUCUCACAGCCGUUGGCAGAAGUACACGAGAGAAAGCAGAAAAAUGCAUUAUCUGGAAGGCCUCAGUUUGGAACAGUGCCCUGUUCCUAUCCCCACCUUCCACUGAUCACUGCCAAGCUCAUAGUGUUUGUCAUUAAAUUACCGAUUCUGCGCUCCAAACCUACCUUUCUAUACUCUGAUUUAUGUUGCUGGAUCUGGGGCCAUUUUUCUACUUUGUCAGAUGGCUCCCAGCCUGGGCUCAUUAACUGGAAUUACCAGAGGGGAUUUGAAGACUGGAGAAGAGAUAGUAAUUCCCCUGUUUUCUUGUUCCUGACACUCCUCCCCAGGAAAGUUUCUUCACCCUGACAACGGCAGUUGGCUCCAGUGUUUAGUUUAAAAAAUUUUUGCCACAUAU